AUCCCUAUAAUCUCCUAAAGUAUAAAACAUCUGACGCAAGAAAUCUGGUGGG
rnacentral:antisense_RNA from 1 species